GUACCCAAAGAAUAGUAUAUAUUUAACAUGAUUUCUAAAAGGGUGCGUUGACACCUGUCAGAUUUCUAUCUAGGAAUAGAAGGAUUCAAACCCUAUUUGAUCCUUAGCUCUUUGCUGAAAAGUGCAUAAACAGGAAUCCUGAAUUUAUUAUAUAGACCUCCGCAUUAUAUAAUCGAAGCAAAGGGAAACCAUCGAUGGAGUUAGAGGUACGUAGACUAUAAAAAGAUGCUUGCAAAUCAAAUACUGGUUUUAGCAUAGUUGCCAAACUCCAGUAAGUCACAAGUCCAGAAAAAAAGCUGUUCCUAUUAAAUCUCCCUGAGGUCCUUUUACUAAGAUGGAAAAAUAAGGAGUCAAUGAGGGGAGGGGUUGAGGGAAACAGGGAAAGGAAUUACAGCCUAGGAAUGGUAGAUAGCUACCCCAGAACUUUAAAAUUACUAACACUACAAUUCUAUUUUAAUCAGCUUUUUGGCUGGUACCUACUGCUAUGCCACCUAGUAUGACAUUUCGGGAUUAUCGAGACAAAGAAGCGGUGUACAUGGAGGGCAUAGAAGUUGUGCUGCUGUGAAAAUGAAUUUGUAAGUAGUGAAGAUGUUAACCAGCCAAGAGAGGUCUCCCUUUCAUGGUAAGAUAUUAAAGCUGGAAGGAAUUCAAAUCUCUGGUUUUUCAUAGUGAUGCGGAUAAGAGCAUACGUACACUGUCCACACAAACUCAACUCAAUAAAAUUGGGGUUUCUACCAGAUGAUAACUUUUCAGUGCCCACCACUGGCUGACAGUCACACAAUUCUCUACACCCUGGCCUUCAUGGUGAUUAAAGGAAAGCAAUCUUUUCUGUUGAAGGAUAGGUGAAGAACAAAAUUGUCAAGGUUGGCUCAUCUUGACACAGUCUAGGGCCAGUAAUGGAUAUAAAUAUCCUUGCUUGGGUGUGAUUUCUCCUUCAGGCUGAUGGUACUUUUUGUGAACAUUAAUUAAGCUGACACCUUAGGAAGGUUUUACAUUCCAUGUUUUUGGCAUGGUCUUAACAAACAUACUGUACUGGCAGUAAAGAACAAGGAUUUCAUGUAAAAUAAUACAGUUCACACAUGAGAUUUUUAAUUUAUGGUUGGUUCACAAGUUGUUUGGGUCCUAAAGCUGAUUGAGGUUGCUUAGCUGCUGUUGUUGGUCUUCAUUCUUCUUUCAGGGUCAAGGUGGGUGCUUUCAUAUAAAAUCUUAUUUUUUAUUCCUUCUCUGGCAAUUCUUUCCUGGAUCCUUUGCUUAGCAAAAUUAUAUCUACAGUGGAACCUUGUAAGAAAGAAAAAAAAAUGAGUAAGCUACUAGUUCCUAUAUGAGCAACCUAAGGAAUUCACAGAUUUCCAAAAUGCUUAUAAAGAGGACUAAAUUUAAUUUAAUUCUCUUUAUAACUACACAGGACAUAGAUUUCUGUCAUUGUACCUGUUACAGAACACUAGAACUCUUGGGUCUGACUCACUCAAAACUUAAUGGAAUUCUGCCAUCUGUUAAACAUUCGGUGGGUAAUGAUGGAGGUUUAUAUAUUGCCAUAGUAUAGAUUUCCAGCAAAAAAAAACAAAACUGACUGGUGGCUCAUACUUUAAUCCCAGCACAAGUACACAGAGAGUGUGCGCGUAUAUACACAUCCGUGUUUAUUGAAUGAAUCCUGUUACUUAUCCUGACUUUAACCAGGAAACAUACCAGUAUCCUAAGGUCACCAGGAUAAAUCCUCCUACUCCAACAUCACAUGAUCUUCUAAUUCUACCUAUUGGGAAAAGCAUGGUCAGCACAAAUUAUGUGUAGAGAACCUUAUAGUAGACCUGUUUUUAGUUAAGAAAAAUACUCACUGGUCACCAAAAAAUGCCCAAGUCCAGUCACAAUAGAUCCUAAUGAGCCAUAGAGUAUAGAUUCUCGAGCACAUGGAGUGUUCUCGACAUCUAAAAUACCUAGGAGCUUGAAGGUCUAGGAUAAAAUGAAAAAGAAUUUAGCCUAAACAAGAAAAUAGCUGGAUUCCCAUUCAAUUUUGAAUUACCACUCAGCCAACUUAGUGUUCUAAUCUGCCACUUAAGGAUUUACUUCAGCAUUUGAAAUAAUGAGCAUAGUGAUUAACCUCUAGCAUGAAGUGACCAGUCUUCCAAGGACGUCACUCAGCACUGGCUCAGAGAUGGGGGGGGGGUGUCAAAACUAUUUUUCACAUUGUGUUCAUGCAAGUCUUUGACAUCUGGUGGUUUGUGACUGUAAUGUAAUCCCAGCAAUCAGGAAACACAGCAAGAAGAAACACAACCACAUUGCUGUGAAUUGGAGGUCAGUCUGAGCUCCGAAAACACACAACUUGCAUGUGUGAAAAGAAGCCAUUCAUUCUCUAUUGUAUCCCAGCCCCGGAAACACAUGUUUUCUGCAAUGUCACUCAAUGCUUCUAGAGGAUGAUUGCAUAAGAGAUGAAACUUACACUGAUGGGGAAUGGAGUAAAAGAAAGACAUGUUAGAUUCGGUUAAAGAUAGGGUAGAGCUGCACUUCCCUUAGCUCAAGGAUCUGCCUGAACGUGUAACCUGGUUUUCAUUAAAGUAAAAUUGUUCUUUCACUGA
rnacentral:lncRNA from 1 species